CCUACGGGAGGCAGCAGUGAGGAAUAUUGGUCAAUGGACGAGAGUCUGAACCAGCCAAGUAGCGUGAAGGAUGACUGCCCUAUGGGUUGUAAACUUCUUUUAUAAAGGAAUAAAACGAGGUACGUGUGCCUUUUUGCAUGUACUUUAUGAAUAAGGAUCGGCUAACUCCGUGCCAGCAGCCGCGGUAAUACGGAGGAUCCGAGCGUUAUCCGGAUUUAUUGGGUUUAAAGGGAGCGUAGAUGGGUUGUUAAGUCAGUUGUGAAAGUUUGCGGCUCAACCGUAAAAUUGCAAUUGAUACUGGCAGUCGUGAGGACAGUUGAGGUAGGCGGAAUUCGUGGUGUAGCGGUGAAAUGCUUAGAUAUCACGAAGAACCCCGAGUGCGAAGGCAGCUUACUAAACUGUGACUGACAUUGAUGCUCGAAAGUGUGGGUAUCAAACAGGAUUAGAUACCCCAGUAGUC
rnacentral:rRNA from 1 species